rnacentral:lncRNA from 1 species
UUCCCCAGUUCACUCCCCUCAGCUCAUACUCUUUGUCCUAUCGCAUUUUCCAUGACUUUCCGCUCUUCAUCAAACCUAGUAUAAAGACACUCAGGUUCAAUCGCUUCUUCAGGUCCUCGUUUUCUCACGAAGUCUCCCAUGUCACAUACACCUUAUGUUAAAUAAAUUUCUAUGCUUUUCUCUUAUUCAUCUGUGUUUUGUUAGAAGGGCCCCAGCCAGAUACCUAGAAGGGUAGAAGGAAAAGAUAUUUUUCUUCCCCUGCACAACCCAUCAAGAUAAACAAUGUGAAGACAAACAAACUCCAAACUUAAGAGAAGAUAGAGAGUAUCUCUAUGUUACAAAGGCAUCAAACAUUAUCUGGCGAAGUUGGGCAUCACUUCUUUUUAUCAAAUGAAUCCUGUUUCCCAUUCAUUUCUACUAUAAAUAGGAAACGUGAUUCCACAGGAAACAAAAAAGAGAGCUUAUGGCAAAAAGGAAAGAUACGGUGGACAGGGGGUCAGCACAGCGGCCUCUCCUGAACUGUGGUCCUCAGAGCACCGAGCUCCCCAGAAACUGGAAACGCCACGCGCGUCCACUGUGGAAGAGCGCUGACUAACGGCUCCCCUCAUCGUGUCCUAAACCUGUAACUUUCUACAUCCGGUUUCUUAAAAGUAACACAAUAAAAAGUGUCACAGAGGGUAGAGGUUAAGGACAGGCCACAAACCCUCACACACACACUGAAACAACAGCACGACAAGAACUGAAAAGAGGACGGUUCCGAAACCGUGAGGCCCCCAGUGCCAUCUGUGUGAGCGUCUCCUUCCAUGGCACAGUCCUAAGCACUCCCAGGGCUCAGGGAAGCCGAGGACUGAAUCCCAGAGAGAGAGGCAGCGACAACGAGAUUACAGCUUCACUUCGCCCCGAUGUUCUCCAGGACUUGGGGCAGCCGCUUAGCCUCAGACCAUCUCAGCUCACCCAUCAGCAAAAGGGUUCUGUGGCUUUCCUGCAUAGCUCCAAAAGAAAAUGAAAAGGUGAACUAGAAACUGCAAGUCACUCUGAAUCCCUUGGAUAAAGGUCUUAUAAAUAUUUAUUACUGUUGUUAUUAUUACAGUGAAACAUGCUUCAGCCCUCGACACAACUAUUUCGACUGGACGAGCAAUGCUCACGGGGAGAGAAGAUAAAAGCUCGCUGUCACUGAGUAGCCAUGUGAACUGGAAUCUAGGCAGCAUCCGCCAUGUAAUAUUU